rnacentral:rRNA from 1 species
UACGGAGGGUGCGAGCGUUGUCCGGAAUCACUGGGCGUAAAGGGCGCGUAGGCGGCUUCUCAAGCGUGUGGUGAAAGUCCGGGGCUCAACCCCGGAUCGGCCGUGCGGACUGGGGAGCUCGAGUUCUGUAGAGGCGGGUGGAAUUCCGGGUGUAGCGGUGGAAUGCGUAGAGAUCCGGAAGAACACCGGUGGCGAAGGCGGCCCGCUGGGCAGAGACUGACGCUGAGGCGCGACAGCGUGG